rnacentral:tRNA from 1 species
UCCUUGGUAGUAUAUCGGUUAGUACACGCGCCUGUCAUGUAAAAAAAAGAAUGGAUUUCGCGCGAAAGCUGGGUUCGACUCCCAGCCAGGGAG